CCGGGUUCGGGUUCGCAUCGUCGGGAUGAGCCCCCGCGGAACGGCCGCGGUGCCCUUUGAGGAUCCCGGCCCGGCGGCUCAGGACGCGGCGCUCGGCCCCUCCAGCGCAGGCCGGGCGGGCGGCUGCCUCCUGCCCGCAGGAGGCUGCGUGUCAGCUGGCGCUCGGUGCGUCAGAGCUGCCGGCGUGGGAACAAGGUUUCCCCCAGGUCUGUUCUUGUUGGCAUUUGCUCAGAUGUACACUUCUAUUUACAACUCACAGGUGCGCGGGAGACUCAGAACUCAGCUCACUUCAGAAUACUGCAGGAAGCGAGGGCAGAAGGAAUGGGCAGCAAAACCGUGCGCUCUGUGCUUGCAAAUCAGCCUGCCUCCUGACUGUAGCCUUUGCAUAAAGCAGAGCCAAACGUCAUCCCAGCGGCUUGGGCUGCGUGGAAUUCGUAAUGUGACUGUAAUAGCAACCUACUUCUGCUUACUCACGUUCUCAUUGCUUUUCAUGUGAUAAUAAUAUCAUCUUACAGAUUGGCACAGGAGGAUUAAAGGCUACAGAUCUAUUGUCUUUCACUAAAAUACUAUUUUUAGUUUCUAAUUACUGAUUAGGAACAUCGGUGUGCAAUCUUUCCCCUCCAGUCGCUGCUCUAUAUUCAUCGUGCUGCAGCACGCUGCUUUUGCCAUCAGAUAACCUGGCCGUAGCGUGGGCUCGAGGAAGCGAAGCCAGCACCUGCUUGCUCCUGGUUUUAUCCCCAGUAGCUGCACUUUGUGCUCUUCUCUCAUUUCCAAUUUUAGAAACUCUGCUAAAACCAUUAGUUCGAUAUACCAAGUACAGCUCCUAACAGUUCUUUCCUCUCUCCACAUACAGUUUAUGGUUUCUUAGGAGCAGGUUCUGGUUGCUGAGGUGAAGAGUUACCCCAUGGAAGUCAGGGAGGAAACGGUUCCGCUUGGAAUCCAGCGUAGGUUGCCUUAUUUGUAUUGAGUCAAACGCCCUUCCCUGCUCACAAGUUUCUCAGCGUGCAGCACACACGUUAUCCGUCCUCCGGUCCUUUGAGGAUGUGGAAGAGUUGAUGCUGAAGCCAACAAUAGCUCAGUCUGUGCAUCGCUGGCAGGAUGUGGCCAGGAAGGUUCCAGAACUGACUCUUCAGCGAGGCCUUGCGCUGAGCAUACAGGAGAGCUGGCCUUGGGAAAUGUAUCUCAUCCUGUUUGGAGUCACGCAGAACUAUUGCCAGAUCUCCUAAUAUAAAAUAUUUCACGUCA